UGGUGCGGGGUAUAGGGCAGAGAGCUGAUGCACAGCCAUCACCAACUGCCACCACCAACUGCCGCCCGCAUGCAACAUUUGAAUUCUCCAUGGUAUAAAACCGCAGCACACGGCAAUAUCACUGGCAUUUACUCAGUUGAAGCUGCUGCGGACAGGUGAGAAAAGCCUCUGGAAGAGCGAACUAAGCAUUCUAGAAAAUAUCACAGCGGUAAGCCAAGGAGGUGCCCACAGACAGCACAGGAUUUACCAAUGCCCUUGGAGAUGUGCCCUGGUGAAUAGGAGUCAGAGUCGUGCCCACAAAAGAGACUUUUGUAUUUGGCUGUGGUAGUUUUGAAUCUGCAAAAAUUGAAGAACAGUUGAUCAGCUGUCAGUAGUUCUAAAAUACCACUGACAUUCAUGGCUUGCUAAGUGUUGGCAAUCAUCAGCAGCAACACUCAAAUCACAGCUCUUCAUAUCAUUACUCCACCCCCUCUCUCCUGCUUCAAGAAUAGGAAAUCUUCAGUUUAGUAGAGAAAUGGGAACAGAGAUGUGCUGCCAUUUAUUUCAAGCAAAACAAAAGAGACGGCUUGCAAAAGAGAUUACACUUGUCUUUUGCUGCCCAGGUAAAGACUACACUAAUCAAGGCCCAGCUGUGGAGUGAUGCUGACCUUUGUGGGGAAAGAACAGUUCAGGGGGCACCCCUCUAUGUCCGAUGAGCCUGACCAGAGCAGUUUAGGCCUAAGUGGGGGACAUGUGUAUGAUAUUAUUAACAUUAGGCCACCAGGAUAUUAGUCAUCAGAUGCCAGUCUAGUGGGCUCUAGUAUAAUUUGGGCACUGAGCACCAGAAUAAGUCAGGUACUAGACCCAUGCCACCAGUAUAGAUCGGGAACUAGGGCCAUGUGACAGAUGGCCAUUAGACCCUGGUGCCUUUUAUAGAGAAUUGUUAUUAUCCAUAGGACAGGUUGUCAGGUGGGCACAACUGAAAGUUAUCAAUUUAUGUAAAUGCGCAAAUAGGUGACAAUAAGUUGUCUGAGUCGAUUGAUCCAAUGAUAAUGAUCACUGGAUCUAGCAACUGAGUAAUGGCCUGAAACUGAGAGUGAGUGAAGAAAUAUAAGUGCAUGACUACACAAGCACCAUACCCUCCACACUUCUUACAUACACCUGCAUUACUUGUUUUAUUUUAUUUUUAAUUUAUAUCAUUUAUUGAAACUUCAAUAAACAUACAAAGAAUAUGAAUCAA